UCCGAAAAAGGUAAACCCGUCGUAAGGCGGGGACACAAAGCCGACGGAUUCUGCAAGCAGGAUGGCCGGGCUACCGGGA
rnacentral:ncRNA from 1 species